rnacentral:rRNA from 1 species
GAUGAACGCUGGCGGUAUGCUUAACACAUGCAAGCCGAACGGGCUCUUCGGAGUUAGUGGCGGACGGGUGAGUAACGCGUGAGAAUCUGGCUUUGGGUUCGGGACAACCACUGGAAACGGUGGCUAAUACCGGAUGUGCCGAGAGGUAAAAGAGAAAUUGCCUGAAGAUGAGCUCGCGUCUGAUUAGCUAGUUGGUGAGGUAAAGGCUCACCAAGGCAGCGAUCAGUAGCUGGUCUGAGAGGAUGACCAGCCACACUGGGACUGAGACACGGCCCAGACUCCUACGGGAGGCAGCAGUGGGGAAUUUUCCGCAAUGGGCGAAAGCCUGACGGAGCAAUACCGCGUGAGGGAAGAAGGCUCUUGGGUUGUAAACCUCUUUUCUUAGGGAAGAACAAAAUGACGGUACCUAAGGAAUCAGCAUCGGCUAACUCCGUG